UCAAAGAUGAAAGAUGGGGAAGAAAACCGUUAGGCUCGGUAGCGAAUACAUGCCCAGAGAGCUUCAAAACCAAGCCAAUUAUCAUGGCAUUCAGGACAGCACUCAAGCUAUUCUAAAAACGAGAAAGAGAAGCAGCACGAGACAUAAAACACACUCAUGCAACAUCCUCCUCUUUCGUAGCUACAGAGCAAAAAAAGGAAAGGACUCCCCAUCGAUCCUCGAGACAGAGGAAGGAUAAAAAGGGAUUGUUCGAUUAAGUGGUUAUACAACAAUAAUUUGAUGAACAAUAAAAAAAGCUUGUCCAUGCACAGUAAUCUUCACAUUUAUUCAUUCUUUUGACUGUUUCUCCUCAGAAACACUAUCUCUGGAACAGUUGAUUUGAGGUCACUUCCCAGUCUCGGUUGAAGCCUUACCUUAUAGCGUUCAAGCAAUGACGCAAACAAAGUGGCAACUCCCCGGAUUACAAACUUCUGACCCACACAUGCACGCAUACCAGCACCAAAGGGAAGAAAAGCUGCAUUGUCAUUUGGAUCAUUCAAAACGAAUGAGGUCCGAGUUGUGUCAACAUAACCUUCAGCAACCCCUGUAAAUGAAUUAUCCUGCUCUGAAUCAGAAACCUUUCCAACUUUUGGCAAAAACCGAUAUGGAUUAAAUUUGCUAGCAUCACUGCCCCAACUAGCAUCAUCCAUCUGCAGCAGAUGCACAGGCACAACCAAUCCUGCUCCAGCAGGUAUAAUUACACCAUUUUUGAGUCUCAAAUCAUCUUUCAAAGAACAUCUCUGUAGCAAAGGUCCAGGUGGCAGAAGGCGAGCUGAUUCAUAAAUAGUUGCCAAUAGUAAGACCAUCUUAUCAACGUUUUGAGCAUCUUUUGUUGAUCCUUGCCUUACCAUAAUAAUCUCCAAGUAUAUCUUAUCCUGUAUCUCUGGAUUUGUAGCAAGCCUUUCCAAGAUAUUAGUCAUCAAACCUGCAGUGGCUAAGCAUCCAUGAAACAUCAUACCCAUUAUAUUCCCACAUGGGCUCUUCCCUUGAAUUAAGAUGGCCAUCAAGCUCCCUUGAGAAUUUAUCUUGCAGCACAACACCAGAAGGUGGUAUGCCAGAUGCAGCUUUCAUCCCAUAUUUGACAGUUUCAUCAUUGGAGUUUUGAUCCACAUGGUGAAAAAUUUUACAAUUUUUUCUGCACUGUUGAACAAUAUCCUGGGUUAAACAUUUCAAGUUUGCGCACAAAGACUGGUAUCUCCAAAAUCCUUGUUUCCAGAAGGGAGUAACUCUAUAAGAGGCCCAAAAGGAAGCAUCCUUAGCAAUCAUCAUUAGAAGCUCCUCAUAGAAAUUUGCCUUAGACCAUGCCAAGAAUGCAUCUCCAAAUAGUGUGGCCCCCAAAAUGGUAAAAGCCAUAUGUUGAGAAACCAUUUUACAAUCAACAUUUCCUUUGCCCAUAAUCUCUUCUAUUCUUUCCAUAAUACAAUCUAUGACAUAUUUAGGAAUUACAUUUGCUCUCCCAACCAACUUUUCAUUUAACUGCAGUGCCAAUGAUUCCCUCCUCUUUUCUGCCUGAUCAUAGGAGCAAAAGAAAAGGCUUGAUCGUCCAAAGGCUAAUCGAAAAGCCUUUCCAGU
rnacentral:misc_RNA from 1 species